AUGCACGCUGGCGGCGUGCCUAAUACCUGCAAGUCGAGCGAACAGACGAGGAGCUUGCUCCUCUGACGUUAGCGGCGGACGGGUGAGUAACACGUGGAUAACCUACCUAUAAGACUGGGAUAACUUCGGGAAACCGGAGCUAAUACCGGAUAAUAUAUUGAACCGCAUGGUUCAAUAGUGAAAGACGGUUUUGCUGUCACUUAUAGAUGGAUCCGCGCCGCAUUAGCUAGUUGGUAAGGUAACGGCUCACCAAGGCAACGAUGCGUAGCCGACCUGAGAGGGUGAUCGGCCACACUGGAACUGAGACACGGUCCAGACUCCUACGGGAGGCAGCAGUAGGGAAUCUUCCGCAAUGGGCGAAAGCCUGACGGAGCAACGCCGCGUGAGUGAUGAAGGUCUUCGGAUCGUAAAACUCUGUUAUUAGGGAAGAACAAAUGUGUAAGUAACUAUGCACGUCUUGACGGUACCUAAUCAGAAAGCCACGGCUAACUACGUG
rnacentral:rRNA from 1 species